AGUGAACGCUGGCGGUAGGCCUAACACAUGCAAGUCGAACGGCAGCACAGUAAGAGCUUGCUCUUACGGGUGGCGAGUGGCAGACGGGUGAGGAAUACAUCGGAAUCUACUUUUUCGUGGGGGAUAACGUAGGGAAACUUACGCUAAUACCGCAUACGACCUACGGGUGAAAGCAGGGGAUCUUCGGACCUUGCGCGAUUGAAUGAGCCGAUGUCGGAUUAGCUAGUUGGCGGGGUAAAGGCCCACCAAGGCGACGAUCCGUAGCUGGUCUGAGGGGAUGAUCAGCCACACUGGAACUGAGACACGGUCCAGACUCCUACGGGAGGCAGCAGUGGGGAAUAUUGGACAAUGGGCGCAAGCCUGAUCCAGCCAUACCGCGUGGGUGAAGAAGGCCUUCGGGUUGUAAAGCCCUUUUGUUGGGAAAGAAAAGCAGCAGGUUAAUACCCCGCUGUUCUGACGGUACCCAAAGAAUAAGCACCGGCUAACUUCGUG
rnacentral:rRNA from 1 species